UGUUCAUUCGAAUUGGUAGCAAGAUACAUUAAUAUACUCUUAUAUUUUCAUAUGAGCAUUACUGAGUAAAUAAAAAAAAAGUGAAGUAUGCUGCCCAUUAACUUGUGUCGUCGACGACCAGGGGAUAAACCUGUUCAGGAGAUGCACGGAAAUCCGAAUUAUAAUUAUGCAAAUUUAAAUUCUAAGGAUCUACAAUCUGAUGAUUUGACCAUUGG